AUUGAACGCUGGCGGCAGGCCUAACACAUGCAAGUCGAACGAGUGGCGGACGGGUGAGUAAUGUCUGGGAAACUGCCCGAUGGAGGGGGAUAACUACUGGAAACGGUAGCUAAUACCGCAUACCAUCGGAUGUGCCCCGAUGGGGUUAGCUCGUAGGUGGGGUAAAGGCUCACCUAGGCGACGAUCCCUAGCUGGGCUGAGAGGAUGACAAGACACACGGGGACUGAGACACGGGCCAGACUCCUACGGGAGGCAGCAGUGGGGAAUAUUGCACAAUGGGCGAAAGCCUGAUGCAGCCAUGCCGCGUGUAUGAAGAAGGCCGUCGGGUUGUAAAUUACUUUCAGCGGGGAGGCGUUACCCGCAGAAGAAGCACCGGCUAACGCCGUGCCAGCAGCCGCGGUAAUAC
rnacentral:rRNA from 1 species